rnacentral:misc_RNA from 1 species
AACGGUCUAUACCUGCGGUACCUGCGGAGGGAUCAUUACAGGACUCGCAAGACUCCUACAACCCUGUGAACUUAACUAUAAGCACGUUGCUUCGGCGGGUGUCUCGGCGAGGGUUCUCCCUCCCCGGGGCGCUAAGCCCGCCGGCAGCCUACUAUACUCUGUCUCUUUGCGUUGGCAUCUCGAGUACAAACAAACAAGUUAAAACUUUCAGCAACGGAUCUCUAGAUCGGAAGAGCACAC